rnacentral:rRNA from 1 species
AUUGAACGCUGGCGGCAGGCCUAACACAUGCAAGUCGAACGAGUGGCGGACGGGUGAGUAAUGUCUGGGAAACUGCCUGAUGGAGGGGGAUAACUACUGGAAACGGUAUCUAAUACCGCAUACCAUCGGAUGUGCCCAUAUGGGAUUAGCUAGUGGGGGGGGUAAUGGCUCACCUAGGCGACGAUCCCUAGCUGGUCUGAGAGGAUGAACAGCCACACUGGGACUGAGACACGGCCCAGACUCCUACGGGAGGCAGCAGUGGGGAAUAUUGCACAAUGGGCGCAAGCCUGAUGCAGCCAUGCCGCGUGUAUGAAGAAGGCCUUCGGGUUGUAAAGUACUUUCAGCGGGGAGGCGUUACCCGCAGAAGAAGCACCGGCUAACUCCGUGCCAGCAGCCGCGGUAAUAC